UACGGAGGGAGCAAGCGUUACUCGGAAUUAUUGGGCGUAAAGAGCUCGUAGGCGGUCUGUUGCGUCCGCUGUGAAAACUCGGGGCUUAACCCCGAGCCUGCAGUGGAUACGGGCAGACUAGAGGUAGGUAGGGGAGAAUGGAAUUCCCGGUGUAGCGGUGAAAUGCGCAGAUAUCGGGAGGAACACCGGUGGCGAAGGCGGCGUCCUGGACCAACACUGACACUGAGGAGCGAAAGCCAGGGGAGCAAACGGG
rnacentral:rRNA from 1 species